GCCACGGCCAUACCACCCUGAACGCGCCCGAUCUCGUCUGAUCUCGGAAGCCAAGCAGGGACGGGCCUGGUCAGUACUUGGACGGGAGACCGCCUGGGAAUACCAGGUGCUGUAAGCU
ensembl:rRNA 5S_rRNA 5S ribosomal RNA